rnacentral:rRNA from 1 species
AUACGGAAGGUCCGGGCGUUAUCCGGAUUUAUUGGGUUUAAAGGGAGCGCAGGCGGAGAUGCAAGCGUGACGUCAAAUUUCGGGGCUCAACCCCGUCUCGCGUCGCGAACUGCGUCCCUUGGUUGCGGGAAGGGGAGGCGGAACUCGUGGUGUAGCGGGUAAAUGCAUAGAUAUCACGAAGAACUCCGAUCGCGAAGGCAGCCUUCCGGCCCGUCAACGACGCUCAUGCUCGAAGGUACGGGUAUCAAACAGGAUUAGAUACCCUGGUAGUCCGCACAGUAAACGAUGGACACCCGCGGUUUGGCCUAUAUGGCUGAGCCGCCAAGCGAAAGCGUUAAGUGUCCCACCUGGGGAGUACGCCGGCAACGGUGAAACUCAAAUGAAUUGACGGGG